rfam:Triticum aestivum genome assembly, contig: Triticum_aestivum_CS42_TGACv1_scaffold_024693_1AS
UUUGUACUCCCUCCAUCCCAAAAUUCUUGUCUUAAAUUUGUCUAAAUACGGAUGUAUCUAGUUACAUUUUAGUGUUAGAUACAUCCGUAUCUAAACAAAUGUAAGACAAGAAUUUUGGGAUGGAGGGAAUACUAC